UUUUUUGUUUUUUUUUGUUUUUUACGUGAAAUGAAAUGAUGGGUAUGCUCUGGUUUUUUCUUGUGUUUGUGUGUAUCUAUUGUUUAAAUUAUCUCUGUUUAAAUCCACUCAUCACGGAAUGCUCACUCUGAAACUGCUAUAUAUGCUAUAUAAUUUUAAUGGAUCAAGUGUUUCCUAUCUUGUAGUCUUAAUAUGUUUAUUCACUUGGCUUUCAUUGAUGAAUGAAUGCACUGAGUUGUGUAAGGAUUUAUGGUCCUUUAGAUGUCUUAACCGUAGACGUGGUGACUAGUGGUGGCAUUCUUACUAUUUUACAUCGUUGAUUUUGGCAUGUAAAACAUAGAGCUUUGCUGGUAAUAUUUCACAUUGCACUCUCUCAGGCAGAGGAGAAUACGCGAUUAAGGACUGAACUACAGAAAAAAAUUAAGGAACUCGAAAAAUAUGUAAGUGCUUCUAUAGUUUCUACAAAUUGUCCAUCUAAUAUGACUUGGAUUGCCAACUGAUCAAAUCUAACUAUUUCCUUGUUAUCUCAGUAUAUCAUUGAUGUUGAGAGUGAGUUACAAUGCAUGGGAUUUUAAUUUUGCUACUUUAACUGCUUAGGAUUUAAGCAUAUAGUUUUGAGUACUGCAUAUGCAGUCCUCAUUUUCCUCUGGAUAGUUUAGUAGAUAUCUCUAGUUUAUGAUUUAAUUGGAAAUAUAUUUGUGGUUGGAUGUGAUAAAUGGGUGAUAACUUCAAUAUGAUAGCAUGACUUAAAACUAUAAAACAAAGUUUAAGGCAUAUAAUAUUACUUGGAAGUAAUGAAUUCAUUGUGAAAAAUAUACUGAUAUGAAAAUCUCAAACCUUUAGAGCAGCUCUAUUAUCCUGUGGAGAAAUAUAUUGAUGCAGUUGUAUGUUGAACAAAUUCCCAAUUCUUAUGUGCUUAUCGCAAGACAAUUUUCUUGCCAAAAAGAUGGGCUAGUUCUUUAAAGGAAGAUAUAUGCUUAAAUUGCCUUCUGAUGUAAUAUUAUGCUAAACAAAUUUCAGGUCUAAUCAUACUUAGGCUCUCAUUCUAGCUGUAAAUAAUUUUAGUUCCAAGUUGAAGCUGGUGUGAACAGUAGCUGUAGGAUAUCUAAUAACUGCAAGCUUAACCAAAUAGGCUAGCUCCAGCUAUAGGGAUUCAAAAACUAACAAUUGCCCUCAAUAACUCAACCAAAUAUUCACUUAGUUUUCCAUUUUCUUUGGGAGAUUGGAUUGGGAAUUUUUCUCCUUUUCUUUAACUUCUUUUGGAGCGUGGGAGGGGUGUUGCAUGGUUGUUGGUGAGCAUAUAUUGUAGAUCUGUCUUGGGUUAAAAGUGUUAGAAAGCAAUAAAAACCUCAACUAUUGAAGAUUUAAUCCAAACUAGUUGGGUUCAAUUAUAUGGAUAUAUUUCCUUCGUUUCACUUGGUUUAGGGCUAUGAUAUAGUUGCCAAGUUCUUUCUCUAUACUUCCCUCCACACCUCAUGCAUCAUAUGUUUGCCCCUCCCUUUCUCAUAUUUUACCACUCUAGUGUAUUCAACCUUAUGUAAUGGUGCAUUUUCUGGUCUAUAGUGCACAUUUCUAAGCCAUCUCCCUUCUCUUAACUUUUUCUAUAGUAGGUAUCACUUCCAACCAGUGUUAUUAAGGCGAAAGGCGACAUUAAGGCGAUAGGCUACCUAUGGCCUUAGGCAAGAGGCGAGAGCCUUUUUGUAGCGAGGCGCUAUAAUCUAAAUUGUCUAUAUAUAUAUAUGCCUUUAACUAGUUUAAGAAGUAAAAA
rnacentral:misc_RNA from 1 species